GGGUAUAGCUCAGUGGUAGAGUGCAUGCCUAGCAUGCAUAAGGUCCUGGGUUCAAUCCUCUGUUGACUCC
rnacentral:tRNA from 1 species